ACACAAAUACAAACAUAGAUAGUUACCAACCAUGAUUAGCUAUGAAGAAAAAAGCAACACACAUACUUAAAGAGAGUAACAGGGCAGACUGAUGUACACUGGGGGAUCUCUGAGAUGUUUAGCUGAGAUUUAAAGGACAAAUUCAAGUUAGCUGAGGAAAGAGGGAGAGAGAGUUUUGCAAACAGAGGGAACAGCACACAUACUUGCAAGCUCAGGGGCAGUAGAGAGUGCUAGUUAUUUAUAAAGUCAGUGAAGCUGAAGCCCAGCAUGUGGCAGAAAGAUGCGCCUGGAGAGGUGGGCAGGGGCCAGACCACCACACACCUUCUAGGCAUCUUAAGGAUUUUGGAUCCUAUCCUAAGGGCAAUGAGAAACCACUGGGAUUUGAGCUAGGAGAUCUAGCUAGGAUCCAGUUCACACCUAAAGAAAAUCACCCUUGUUGCUGUGUGGAGAGUGGAAGACUGGGAAGAAGAGUGAAGGCCAAGAGACCAGUUAGAAAGUAGUCUAUACAAAAUAAGAGAGUGGUUCAUGCUCGGAUGGUGUCAACAGAAAGAAUUGGGGGGGCGGGGUGGAGACAGAGAGAUGGAUGGAUUCAGCAUCUAUAUUUAGGGUGGAUUAGAAGUAGGGAGUGAGGGAAAGGACAGGAUGUAUCAGGAUGGCUGCCAGGUUUCUACAAUGAACUUCUGGGUAGUCACGGGUGCCCUUUAUUGAAAUGGAGAAGGCCAGAGGUGGAAGAGAUUUAAAAGAGAGAAGAGGGAAUGAAGGGUUCAUUUUUUAAUAUGUUUAAUUUGUGCUGUCUAUGAGGAUAUCCAAGGGGAUUUAUCAAGAAGGCAGUUAAAUAUACACAGAUUGAGGGCACAGAGACAGGGGUUUUAAAGGAACUUCCUGUACUUGACUGUACUCCUUUAAAGUUUUAAAAAGUAUCUUCCUUUGGCAUCUGAUCUUACUAAAGCUUCUUUCACAAUGUUGUGGAUAAAAGUACAGCAGUAACGGAGUACCUAACUUUACUUCACAGCCAGAAAGAGUUCAAGAUACUUUAGGAACCUUACUGCCUUUGGUGAUUCUGACUUUUCCCACUUACACAGCAAGUCAGGGGCAACUGGUCCUGGGCUAUCUCAUCCUUCCCUUCAUCGGGACAGUAUGGAAUGUGAAAUCCAUCACCAAGAGGCCCACCUGAAAAUGUGCUACAUAUCAGUACAAUUCCAACUCCGUGGAAAAAGAGACCACCCUGGCCAAUUUUUUUAAGUUUUGUUUUGUUGUUUUAAAUUGUCGACCACAUCCUGAAUUGAGAGCAGAUACUCUGGGGAUUCAGUAGAAAACAGAGCAUUUCUUUCUGAACCUGGCCUCACAAAGAACCUCCAUGAAAAAGGUGCCCUCCUCGGCCUAACCCCACAAUCCACCCACCAGUUCACUUGGUCCUACUCGGCAGUCCGGUGGACGCGGCGGGCAGGAACCCAGCCUCUAGGAGGAGCGCAGGAGGAGGCUCCCGCCUGCCGGCCGCCAGUUUGUCAAGCUUCAGAAAGAGUCCUGAGUCGCCACUAUGACAGAGCACUAGAGAGGGAGUGAUGGAUGCCAGCUUCCGUAGGAACAACGAGAGUGACCAAAACUGCUGUCAGACUACUAGGACUGCUGGGUCCUGAAGAACUUUCUGGGUGACCUGAGGACUGAUGACUUGUUUCCCAUUUUCCCCCCUCCUCAGACAUCUAUUUGACCUACUCCUGCCACAGAGGGAAACCUGAGCAUGCCCCCAGUUCUCACAGCCUGAUGGAGCACAAGGACCACACCCCUCUUCUGUCCCUCCUCAGUAAGCAGGAGGUCCACCUCACUACUCUUCAGCCCACGUUCUAUAUUCCUAUGCCUUUUCCCUUUGCUCAUUUCAACUAGGAGGUAAAUCACCAUAAUGCAUCUUUUCAAAAUUUGCAUUUCUUUCAUUAUUAUGAGAUUGAAUAAUACACUGA